rnacentral:rRNA from 1 species
UACGGAGGGAGCAAGCGUUACUCGGAAUUAUUGGGCGUAAAGGGCGCGUAGGCGAUUUGAAAAGUCUUGUGUGAAAGCCCCGAGCUUAACUCGGGAAGUGCACAAGAAACUGUUGAAUUUGAGUUCCGGAGAGGAAGGCAGAAUUCCCGGUGUAGCGGUGAAAUGCGUAGAUAUCGGGAGGAAUACCAGUGGCGAAGGCGGCCUUCUGGGACGGUACUGACGCUGAGACGCGAAAGCGUGGGGAGCGAACAGG